ACGAGACACUACAAUAGUCAUAUUUUUCCUUGCAAUUUUAUUUGAACUUGAUAAAUACAUGACUAUUGUCGUGUCUGAAACCGAGCUCAAAUAAUCCUAAGUGAAUGCAAGCUUUAGUUAGUCUUUGGUUUCCAGUCAUCUUAUAUGUUCUUAUUUCUCAUGUUGUAGUACGACACAUAGAAUAAUUUCAUAAUACCAUAUUUCAGUUACUUCCUAUGUCACCAGAAAAUGCAGUGGAGAAGAAGCCGGUUCACCACAUGAUCAUUUAUUUUGUUAUUGUUUUUUAAUAAUUCUCCGUUGCAUGUAUAAUCACAAAAAAUAAAACACCUCCUUUCAGCAUCCAAAGUUCAGAUCUUGCACAAGCAUCCCUGGGACACAUGCUUCUGUACCUCAAUUAACUUUGUUUUGACUCAAUAACCUCCUCAGAUAAUGUGAAAGUGAAAAGGACGAAGAACAUCAUUUGGCAAUGAGUCGAAAGAAGUGUGCAAAAUGGAAACAGGAAUCACUAACUUAUAGUAGCCAAGUCAUGCAUGCUUGCUUGUUUAUAAUGCCAUGAAAAGUAAGACAUGCUACAUUUUCGCACAUUAGAAAUUCUUAUCUUUUCAAACAUCUUCUUUAGUUAAUUCUUCAACACAAUGAUGUAAGUACCCGUCACUUCUCAUCUUUUGUGAAUGACAUUUGAUUUUCUCACAAUUGUUCUUUGCUAUUUUUUUGGGUACAGAAACGGUCCAUUUUACUUGUAUUAAAGUGACAUUUAUGUGUAAUGAUACUUGCAUCUGUGUGUUUUCGGAGAAUGGAGAAAAAAAUUGGUGAUUGACUGUCCCGACAAGGGGAUUCUAAUUUUGAUUGGCUCUUACUUAAAUAAUAUGAUCUGCAAAGUUCAAAUGGUUGUAUAUUCGACCCAUACUAGGAGUCUAGAAGUGAUACUUUUGUGAGGAGUACUGAAACAUGACUGGGUCAAGCGAGACGGAGAACGAUGGAUGAGUGAAAGAGAUCAGAAAAGGUGAUCCACAACAUAGCUUGCAGCCUCCGAGAGCUCAGGAAGAUGUGGAGAUGAUUAUAGCUUGAAACAUUGUGACUUUUUUCACUUAGUGGUCAUGUAACAUACAGUGGUAACAAUGAAUUCUUGCUCAUUUGGUAAAACUUACAUCUUAACUUGUCAUGAUAAUUAACCAUUGGCUAUUCGAUGAUUAGCACUGUAAUUAGUUAUCUACCUUCCAUGUUGCUCUUAUUAUUGUUGAUCAAGCGAAUUGGUUAUUGCAAGCAGUUCAAGCUGAUUAAAAGUUAAUGUGGCUCGUUGUAAGUAAUGAUGAGGUUGGUUGAGUUGCUUUUCCAUAACUACAUGUAUGUACAUUUCUUGGACUAUUGUGAAUCAAACCACUUUCUACAGUUUCCAAAUGCUGAUGUUAUCUGCACAAACUAACUAUUAA